GCCGGUCACUGAGGGUUGAGCUUUUUGUACAAAGGGGACGUAUUUCCAUUCACUCCUCACUCAACAAACACAGACUGAGCAACAGGUAUGUACCAGAGCACCGGGGUCUGGACAGAGACUGAGACGGCCCUCAGGGAGCUCACAGUCAAGAGAACAGUCCAGAAGUUGAGUAUUACCACUAACAGUAAUAGUAAGAGUUAGCAUUUCGUGAGUGCUUGCACUCUUUCUGAGCUCACUCAAUCCUCACAUCAACCCUAUGAGGCAGUUAUUAUUAUCCUCAUUUGACAGAUUUGAGAACUGAGGCACAGAGAGGUCAGGUCAUCUGCCUGGGGUCACGGAGCAGACUUGAGCCUAACCAGUCUGGCUCUGAGGUUAGUGCUCUGAACAUCUAUACUAUUUAUAACCUUUCAGAUAGUUAAAUAGGAAUACUUUCCUCUCUGGUAAAUAUAAUUUAUAUUAUUGAUUAAGUGCUAGGUGAAACAUCAGGCAAGUGAAGGGACAGACAGUGAGGGAGGUGCACUGGUCUGAGAAGGUCUCUCUGAGGAGAAGGGCCUCAGGGUGGAGACCUGAAUGAAGUAAGGGCACAGGCUAUACAAACAUCUGUGGGAACAGCACUCCAGGCAAGAGAAGAGCACAAGCAAAGGCCCUGAGGCAGUGAGAAACAGCAAGGAGGCCAGGGAAGCCGCAGCAGAGUGAGCAAGGAGAAGGAUGGGUGCUGAGGUCGGAUGCACACACCAAACACAGAUCAGCCUUUAAAAAACCCCUCUAGGGGCUUCCCUGGUGGCGCAGUGGUUGGGAGUCCGCCUGCCGAUGCAGGGGACACGGGUUCAUGCCCCUGUCCAGGAGGAUCCCACAUGCCGCGGAGCAGCUGGGCCCAUGAGCCAUGGCCGCUGGGCCUGCGCAUCUGGAGCCUGUGCUCUGAGGCGGGAGAGGCCACAGCGGUGAGAGGCCCGCGUACCGGGGGGAAAAAAAAAAAAAAAAAAAACUCUGACUGCCAAGUGGAAGAUGCACUGGAGGGAACAUAAAGUGAAUGUAAAAGCAGGAAGACUGGCUAGUGGCUACUGCAAUGGUCCAGGCAAGAGAUGCUCAAGGCUGGAACCAGGAAGCUCUGUGCCCCAUUCAUCCAUCCAGUGAGGCCUCCUGUGUACCUGGCCUCAGGCUGGGCCCUCUGUUGAGGACACAGAUGACACAGACACUGCCCCAACUCUCCUGGAGCUGACGGCCUGCUUGCAGACAUGUCCACAGAUAAAACUACGAUAGAAGCCUGUGACCUAUGAUGCGGAAUUCAGUUGAACUCCCCGAAGCACCCCCAGCCCCAUGCUCCAAUGUAAGUAAUUUUGAGCAUCUGAACUUCUGCCAAGCCAGCCAAGGCACAAAAGGGGAGUGUAGCCAGCCAGCUCCCUGUUUCCUCCGAGUGAGCAGUGACAGGGGCUCAACCCCCAAAGCAGAUCCAGCAUGCUCUCCUUCUAAAAGCAGGGGGUCAAAUGAAAGCCUGCGGACCAAGUCCAACCCACCACCUGUUGCAAUAAACGAAGCUUUACGCUCAGUCAUUUCCCCGCUGUCCUCACUUCUUUGUAGCCACAUCAUCAGAGUGGAAUCGUCGCGACAGAGACCAUAAGGCCUGUGAAGCCUGUAAUAUUUACUAUCCGGUCCUUUAAAGGAAAAGCUUGCUGAUCCCUGGUCAAAAGCAACAGAACAGAUUCUUAGCUGAGCACAAGGCCACCCGGAAUAAAGGCAACAUUCCCGUCCACCAG